UUGGAAGGGCCUUGGGCUGAUGCUCUAUUGUCAGUGUCUAACAUGGUCUGUUUGUUCCUUUGCCCCCUCAGGCCUCAACCAUGUUACGAGCAUCCUUGGCACCUGAGUAAGUAAUGGGUUUUUGGAGUUUUCAUUAAUUGUGUUCUAAAAUUGUAUUUACUUUUAUUUUAUGUGUAUGGGUGUUUUGCUUGUCUGUCUGUCUGUCUGUCUGUAUAUAACCUCCAUGCCUGGUGCCUGCAGAGGCCAAAAGAAGGUAUUGGAUCCCCUAGAACUGGUGUUACAGAUGGUUGUUAGACACCGUGUGGGGCUGGGAACCAAACCCAGGUUUUCUGGGAGAGUGAACAAUGGAGACAUCUCUCCAGCUCCCAGUUACAUCUGUAUGUAAAACUGGAACUCAGGAGAGCUUGCUAAAAUUCAGCUAUAUGCGGAUAUGAAAGCAAAUACCAGUGAUCAUAAAUUGUGCUGAACCAGAAUUAUCUUUUAAUAUGGAUUCUUGUAAUGUGGCAUGAAAGAGCAAAAAAACCCAAAAAACAAAAAAAACAAAAA
rnacentral:lncRNA from 1 species